UGUGAACCACCAGGAGGACAGACGGACAUGUGCAUGCCAGUGGCCGGACAGAAAUUUCAAGCAACAGUUCUUGGAAACCAUAUGGGGAUCAGCCUGGGAGUUCUGCAAGAUGCUUUUCAUCUUAUUUGUGACAAAAGAGCUGCUGUACUUCAGGCCAUCUUUGACAUGAUAUCAAACUAUCAUGAGCAAUGCCUUUUCCUUUUUUCCCUCCCUUCAAAGAAAGCUCUUGGGA